rnacentral:rRNA from 1 species
UGAGUGGCGAACGGGUGAGUAACACGUGAGUAACCUGCCCUCUUCUUUGGGAUAACGCCCGGAAACGGGUGCUAAUACUGGAUAUUCACUGAUCUUCGCAUGGGGGUUGGUGGAAAGGUUUUUUCUGGUGGGGGAUGGGCUCGCGGCCUAUCAGCUUGUUGGUGGGGUGAUGGCCUACCAAGGCUUUGACGGGCAGCCGGCCUGAGAGGGUGACCGGUCACAUUGGGACUGAGAUACGGCCCAG